GAGCUCUGCUCAGGUAAUGCAGGUGCAUUAAUGCAUGGAGGAGACACUGAAGCUAAACUUUCAUUCAGAUCAGUCAGGAGGAGAAAAAUGAAAGAAAACAGGACGCCAAGAUGAAGAUAGACCUCAAAAACAUCCUGGACGAUCUGAGAGAUGAAGACUUUGAGAACUUCAAGUGGUUCCUGAAAUGCGAAACAGUGAACAAUAUUCCACCCAUUAAAGAGAGGCAGCUGUUGAAAGCAGAGAGGCGGACACCGUGGCAUCUGAUGGUGCAGAAAUAUGGAUUAGUUGGAGCUGUGGCAGUGAUGGAGAGAGUUUUAAGAAAUAUCAACAGGAACGAUCUGGUGGAGCAGUUACCAGCCAUCAACUCAGGAACAGAAGGUCCUGACCCUGGUCCUGGUCAAUCACAGAGCUAGAGUCUGUCCUACACACGCUGCUGGAUAAGCGUGGGGUGAUAACUGAUGUUGAAGUGGAUUUAGCUGGAACAACAAGCAGGGCGGACAAAGCUCGAGUGGUGAUCAACUCGAUGCAAAGAAAAGGAUCACAGGCCAGUUCAAGUCUGAUGGCUCCUCUCUGUGAGGAGGACUGAUGCCCUUCAAUGGAGCUGAAGUUAAUGUGAAGUAGGAACAGUGUAUCAGGCUGUUUCUGUCUGACACCAUCACAUCUGUAGUUCUCCUUUGUUUAAGAACAUUUGUUAAAAACCUCAAAACUCUCUUAACAUGAAUCAGCAUUGCCUGUACUGUGCUGGUUCACAUUCAUUCAGUUUAAUGUAUGUUUCCACAGCACUAAUUACAUCAGUGCAACAACAGUCAUGUCAGAGAAGAGGUUUAAUUUGGAGGUGUCCCUGUGUUCUCUGUGCUGGAAAUGAAAAUCUGUUAUGUUUGUUACUGGAGCAUUAGUUAAAUUUUUUUUCCUUCGAUCAUCUGUGUUGUAGCUCUGUUUCUGCUCCUGUUUUCAGUUAAACACAAACACACAGAAUAUUAGAUUACAAUCCCUACAGGUUUUAAUCCGGUCAGCAACAGAUAAUCUCAAAAUACAUAUAAUACACAUUCAGUACAGCAGCUUCUGUCUGCAUCCUCCAUCUCUGUCCAAAACAAAAUCAUAGACUGGCAUCAUUCAGCUGCUCAGGAGAAAACCUAAACGCCUUCAUUCAUACUGAUCUGAGGACAGUCUGAGUCAGCAGCUAAAGUCAGUUCUGCUGAGCACUGCAUCCACUUCACAGCAAAGUCAGGAAACAAAGUAUUUUUCACAUUUAAACCUGAUUUUAUUCAAACAUGUCUGCAUCACUGUGUGAAAGGUUUAAUAACAGCAGCAGAGUAAAUCAGAGAAAUAUUCAGACCAUCUGUUCCUGCCGAAUCUGAUCAACUCAGAUGACUCAAUACUGUUGACUUCAGUUCACUGAUUAUCACUGAACGAACCCCACCACAGUUAAUUUUAUCUUUGUAUGAGUCAUUACUUUUUAUUUUAUUUCAAUUUAAUUUUUGUUUUCCUGUCAGUCUAGUUCCAGUUAGUUAACAGAACGGGUUUCUUUGUUUCACUUCGGUUUUUAUUGUUUUAAGUUUAGUGUUUAUUAGUUUCUGAGUUUAAACAGCUCUGAUUCAAGUGAGGUCUCCAGUAUUUUUCUUUUUGAUUUUUAGGA